UACAGAGGUCUCAAGCGUUGUUCGGAUUCAUUGGGCGUAAAGGGUGUGUAGGUGGCGCGCUAAGUCGGGUGUGAAAUUUUGGAGCUUAACUCCGAAACUGCAUUCGAUACGGGCAGACUAGAGGCAUGCAGGGGAGAACGGAAUUCCUGGUGUAGCGGUGAAAUGCGCAGAUAUCAGGAGGAACACCGGUGGCGAAGGCGGUUCUCUGGGCAUGUCCUGACGCUGAGGAGCGAAAGUGUGGGGAGCGAACAGG
rnacentral:rRNA from 1 species